rnacentral:rRNA from 1 species
UACGUAGGGUGCAAGCGUUAAUCGGAAUUACUGGGCGUAAAGCGUGCGCAGGCGGCUUUGCAAGACAGAUGUGAAAUCCCCGGGCUUAACCUGGGAACUGCAUUUGUGACUGCAUGGCUGGAGUGCGGCAGAGGGGGAUGGAAUUCCGCGUGUAGCAGUGAAAUGCGUAGAUAUGCGGAGGAACACCGAUGGCGAAGGCGGCAUCCUGGACCGAAAUUGACGCUGAGGCGCGAAAGCCAGGGGAGCAAACGGG